GAUGAACGCUGGCUACAGGCUUAACACAUGCAAGUCGAGGGGAAACGCCGGGGAAGCUUGCUUCCCCGGGCGUCGACCGGCGCACGGGUGAGUAACGCGUAUCCAACCUGCCUCUGACUGAGGGAUAACCCGUCGAAAGUCGGCCUAAUACCUCAUGGUAUCGUCUGCGGGCAUCCAACGACGAUUAAAGAUUUCAUCGGUCAGGGAUGGGGAUGCGUCUGAUUAGCUUGUUGGCGGGGUAACGGCCCACCAAGGCUACGAUCAGUAGGGGUUCUGAGAGGAAGGUCCCCCACAUUGGAACUGAGACACGGUCCAAACUCCUACGGGAGGCAGCAGUGAGGAAUAUUGGUCAAUGGGCGAGAGCCUGAACCAGCCAAGUAGCGUGCAGGAAGACGGCCCUAUGGGUUGUAAACUGCUUUUAUGCGGGGAUAAAGUGAGGGACGUGUCCCUCAUUGCAGGUACCGCAUGAAUAAGGACCGGCUAAUUCCGU
rnacentral:rRNA from 1 species